rnacentral:rRNA from 1 species
CCUACGGGAGGCAGCAGUGAGGAAUAUUGGUCAAUGGACGAGAGUCUGAACCAGCCACGUCGCGUGAAGGAUGCCUGCCCUAUGGGUUGUAAACUUCUUUUAUAAAGGAAUAAAACGAGGCACGUGUGCCUUUUUCCAUGUACUUUAUGAAUAAGGAUCCGCUAACUCCGUGCCAGCAGCCGCGGUAAUACGGAGGAUCCGAGCGUUAUCCGGAUUUAUUGGGGUUAACGGGAGCGUAGAUGGGUUGUUAAGUCAGUUGUGAAAGGUUGCGGCUCAACCGUAAAAUUGCAAUUGAUACUGGCAGUCUUGAGUACAGUUGAGGGAGGCGGAAUUCGUGGUGUAGCGGUGAAAUGCUUAGAUAUUACGAAGAACCCCGAUUGCGAAGGCAGCUUACUAAACUGUGACUGACAUUGAUGCUCGAAAGUGUGGGGAUCAAACAGGAUUAGAUACCCCAGUAGUC